rnacentral:tRNA from 1 species
UAGCUCAGUCAAUAGAGCAUGAGACUCUUAAUCUCAGUGUCGUGGGUUAGAGCCCCAC